rnacentral:rRNA from 1 species
AGUGAACGCUGGCGGUAGGCCUAACACAUGCAAGUCGAACGGCAGCACAGAGGAGCUUGCUCCUUGGGUGGCGAGUGGCGGACGGGUGAGGAAUACAUCGGAAUCUACUCUGUCGUGGGGGAUAACGUAGGGAAACUUACGCUAAUACCGCAUACGACCUACGGGUGAAAGCAGGGGAUCUUCGGACCUUGCGCGAUUGAAUGAGCCGAGGUCGGAUUAGCUAGUUGGCGGGGUAAAGGCCCACCAAGGCGACGAUCCGUAGCUGGUCUGAGAGGAUGAUCAGCCACCCUGGAACUGAGACACGGUCCAGACUCCUACGGGAGGCAGCAGUGGGGAAUAUUGGACAAUGGGCGCAAGCCUGAUCCAGCCAUACCGCGUGGGUGAAGAAGGCCUUCGGGUUGUAAAGCCCUUUUGUUGGGAAAGAAAUCCAUCUGGUUAAUACCCGGGUGGGAUGACGGUACCCAAAGAAUAAGCACCGGCUAACUUCGUGCCAGCAGCCGCCGUAA